UUUCUCUCUCCUCACCAGCAAUCAGCACGGUCCCUCCCAGCUCAGGUGCCCACUCCGGCAGCUGGAUCUGGAUCAGCAUCAUAGUCAGGGUUGAAGUCGCAGUGCUUUUAUCGAUUUUCCUCGUGUCCUACUGUAAAUAUAAAUGUGGCGCAGAGCCCAAGGGCUGCGGGGUUGGUUCCCUGUGGGGCAGAGCCAAUCUGCUGGCAAGGUGUAAAGAGCCAAUCAUCUGGCUGGGUUCGAAGACUCACACCAAAGGAGCUGAACACAUCUCUGUGGAAAAGCAGAUUCUUUUAAAAACCAAAGCCCAAGAAAAGCUCUCUUUCCUCUGGCCUGGGGACAGGUCACUGGCUGGCCCCACGCUGAGAUUUCUGCCUCAGCUGCCCCUUCCACCAGGAGUGUCCCAAUGCCACCAGCAGCC